GUGGUGAGGCCCCUCUGGCCCCUGUGCAGCCCGGGGGUGGGUCUGAGGCUCUGCUCUCCUGCUCAGCAGUAGGGAUGGCUCCCCACACAUUGGCUGCACAGAGCUUGCUCCCUCUUCUGGGACGUUCUUUCCCCCUUUGUAUCUUCGUCCUUGUCUUUGUCAGUGUGAGUGAGCAAGUGGGCUUGUCCUUUAGCCCCUGUAGAAAUGAGGGUAGUGUAGCUUAGACCUUCCAGGAGGCAGAGAGGGGCUCUGUGCAGCAGCAUGGGGGUGCCCUCUAAACCCAUGGGUGGAGACAGGGUCUGGCCUUGCCCCUUCUUCCUGAGGAUGGAGCGAAGCCCCUUAGUGGUGGUGUGGGCACUGUAACCCACCUGUAGCCAGGGCCUGAGUGUUUGCCUGUGCUGUGGGGCUGCCUGUCCUGCUGGUGACGUGCCAGUGUGUGCCCCCCUGUCCCCAGGGCUGGGGCCCUGUCCCCCCCUGCCUGAGGCCACGAGGCCAUUGUUGGGAGUGCCGGGCCUUGGGGGGCGGCCCCGUACGUGGGUCUUUGUGUGUCCCCCCUGCUUGGCGGGAAGUUGGAGGGACCCCCUGUACUCAGGCGGGUAUCCCAUGGGGUCCCUGGUCUUCCACAGGGAUUGGGCUGGGCGUGUGCCCUCCCUGUCCU